rnacentral:sRNA from 1 species
AUAUUUUGUUAGUUACAACUUUUUUGAUAGCUAUACUCCCCGUUGAGAUAUGCUCUUUUAAAG